ACCAAAAGUUUUUCUCAGACCUUUCAUUUAGAAAUGUAAUUUUAUCAGAUGGCUCAUCUGCCAUGCACACACAGUGCAGGAAAAUACAAGCCAGUAAAUCAUGCUGAUACUGAUGACUAGUGUUAAAAGAAUACAUCAAUCAAUUUAUCAUCUCCGUUGUCUUUCCAUUAAUGGGACUGUCAGAGAUGCAUUUAGACAAGCAAGUUUCUCUCUUGUUAGCUUUAGUCACAAGGUAAAGCAUUAGUUACUGCUUGAUUUUCUUUUAACGUAUGAAGCAGCAUUUACUUGCAUGUAUUGGUGCUUUAACUUAGACAGCUGGUAGACCACCCAUGAGGUCAUCCCACUGUUACUUCUACCUUUCCCUCACUUAGCCAAAAAGUUCAUAUAUGGUGUCUGUUCUCAGUUGCCUGGAGUCCUUUAUAAUCAUUACUGUCAAUGUAAAGUAGAUGUAACAUGCUUCUAAAUCAGAACAAUAAUGAUGUAUAGUUGGUAUUCAUUCAACAGGCCAAUUUCACUGUGAAGCCAGUUAUUCCGGUUGAAGACCUGGUGCACAAGAUGUAUGUGGAUACUUCAGUGGAUACUGAAGAACUGAGCCCAUGAUCCAGUACCCAGCGCAAAAGAACUCCAGGAGCUUACUGGAAAACAGCAAUCAGGCAAAGGAGGGAACUGCAAACCAACGCUCUGCACUAAAGGAAGGCUUUUAUCUGCUUUUGCAAUGCUUGCCUCUGUUUUAGAGGAAGAUAUGCAUCUGACUUCCCUGAAUGAGGUCUACAAAGAUGAU